AAUACGUUCCCGGGCCUUGUACACACCGCCCGUCACACCACGAAAGUCGGUAACACCCGAAGCCGGUGGCCCAACCUUUUAGGAGGGAGCCGUCGAAGGUGGGAUCGGCGAUUGGGGUG
rnacentral:rRNA from 1 species